AACACAACGCUGUUCUCUUGCAAGAGCACUGGAAAAGAUUUCCGACGGAAAGGCUGUUCAAUCCGAAAAAAAACCAAAAAAACCUACCAGAUAUUUUCUUCUUCACAGGUUUUUCUGGGGGGAAAGUAAGAAAGUAACACAACCAAACUUUGGAAUGAGGAAUGUUACUCUGACAGUGGCAGUCUUUCUGGGACUGAUGACCUUUCUGCACCCUAGAUGUAAUGGACAGCCCAUUCAGUUCUAUCCUCAAUUUCUGGUUGACCAGGUUCCAUCAGAGAGAAUUUUGGAAGUACCAGAUACUUUGCCUGACCCAGUUUGGGCAAAUGUAGGUCGCAUGCAGGAAAGAAUGUUCGAAGAUCCACGGGCAGUUAAAAGAGCUUUGAUGCUAUUUUCUCAGCCCUCAAAACAUCACCAUGAAUCAGAAAAUGGCAGAGAAAAUUUAAACCGAAAGAUCGGAGGCUUUCUGCGAUGGGGCUGAACUUUUUCCUAAAUUGAAAAAGCACCGACCAAGCUAACGCUACUGUAGGUACCGAUACAAGUCUGAAAAAUACAUUUGUUUGUUAAACAUUAUUCGGCGUUCUCUGAUGUGUCAAAGAAAUUAUCUAAAGAUUAUACUGUAAUAAUCACUUCAGACUGGUUUAAAAUAAAUGAUAUUCAUAUCAAUUGCCUUUAAGUUUUAAACAUCGUGCAUUAAUUUAAGCAAAUUUUUAAGUUGGCAGUUAAGUUUUUACAAUUUAAAAAGUUAAUAAUAACUGAUUUCAACGCCAGGGAGAUGGUAACGUUGGCUUGGUCUAACUAAAUAUUUGUAACUUUAAUGUUAAUUCGUCGUAUUAAUAUCCCAUUACAACUAUGGCGUACUUUGUCCUCCAAGGUAUUGGUUUGUGUCGAACUGUUAAUUAUUUUCCCUUACUAUUAUAUAAACAGUAUAGGUAGAAUGCUUCUCGUUAAGACUAACAGAUUUUUAAAACCUUUGAAUGAUAUCGUGAUUGUAUAGCUGAUAAUUUUUUUCAAGUGUGUUACAUUAUAUUACAGUGUUUGACGUAAUAAAAAAGCGAGCACAAUAAUUGAGGUA